CUGGAUCUGGAAAGCAGAUGAAGGAGAGAUUGACUCACUGGACUAUUUGAAAAUCAUGACCAAGAUAGCUUCUGGGAACCAUAAUUCAAGAAAUUAUAAACAAAAACAAGAGAUCCAAAAUCUCUUAAAAUCAGAGGCAAAUUAAAAACAAAAACAAGGUUACCUCCUGAAAAAAGCCCUCAACUAACUAAAAUAUCAUCAUAGCCAAAAUCUGGAGCAUCCAGGUUUAUUUUAAAAAUGCCCAAACAUCCAAAAACAAAGGAUUCAAACUGGAUCCAACCAUUCUGGAGAGCAGUUGGAACCACGCCCAGAGUCAUCAGACUGUGCGGACCCUUUGACCCACCAGGGUUUCUACUGGACCUGUAUCCCAAAGAGAUCUUAAAGACGGGAAAGGGACCCACGUGGGCAACAAGGUUUGCGGCGGCCCUGUUUGUGGUGGCAGGAAACUGGAAACUGAGCGGCUGCCCGUCAGCUGGAGAAAGGAUGCGGAAGUUACGGGAACGAAUGGGACGGACUAUCACUGUUCUCUAAAUGUCACAAGGACGAUUUCAGAGAGGCCGGGGGGGCCACGAACGCAGGCUAAGUGGUAAGGGUGGGGGAGGAGGAAGUACGGAGACCCAGACGCCUGAGGCACCGGAAGUAAUUUUUGCCGCCAGCCCGCGGGGCCUCUGGAGCGGGAACUCUGGUUGUGUGGAGACCGCCUCAGCCAGAGAAGGUCUCCUUCCCUCCCAGGCGGUGGGUCUGUGACCCCAUGGACCCUCUGUGAGCGGUGGGAAGCGGGAAGUGGGAGGAGUUCAUUAGGAGAAGUUCUGGAGGAGUCAGGAGGAGUUCACGCCGAGGCUGUUCAGUGGCGGCAGGGUGGGAGCCCAUGGAACGAGGACUUGGGCUUGCCAGCUGUCAGGGGCUCUGCUGAACCAGAACCGCUGCUCGGAGGCCUUGCGUGGGGAGACGCCCAAGACCAGGGGUUAGCAUGAUAAAUGGAAAUAUGUUUCGAAGAAUCAUACGUGUAUAAUCUAUACUGGAUUAUUUGCUGUCCACGGGAGGUGGAAAGUGAGUGGGUGAAAUGGAACACCAAGUUUUGCAGAAUUGGACGCCUUUGAGAGCAGAGACUCUUAAUAUCUUUGUACCCCUCUCGGCAACACAAGGGCUAAAAGAUUGAAUAAAUGCUUACUGAAUUCAGAAGCCCAGAAAAUAAGGCAAUGUCUCGGCUCAGGGAACCUCCUGACCUUUGAUUAGGGAAAAAUUCUUCCCCCUCCCCUAUCACAUUCCCAGACCAUGCUGAGAUCCUUGUGGGUUAGAGGCAGCAGGGAGGGCUUCCUGGAGAAAGCAGACCAAGUGAGGAGAUUACAGGAGCUCAGAAGAGGAUGAAGGAUGAAGAGCUGAAAAGAUGGGGGAAUGGAGGGAGAAGGAGAGAAGCCAGGGGGGUAGGG